ACAGACUUUAUCCUGAUUACUGUGUUACACUGUUUAUCAGACUUGUCAGAGGCUCCUGGAUGAGACUGCAAUGCUAGCAGAGCUAAAAACCCAGCUACAUCUCUCAGAUUAAAUGGUGUCACAGUGGAUCUCAGAUGUGAUGGAAUGGGCAGCUGGUGAGACACGAGAUGCAUCUGACAACCUGCAAGGCACCACACACACAGGGCUUCAGCGGUCCAUUGAGGGGCUCUACCUCAGUGUGAGGCAGCGGAAGCUAAAUCUGUACCGUCAGAAUGACAGCAACAAGCUUCGCCACCGGCUUCGGAGGAAGCUGGCAGAAGAGAAAAAGCUCCUUUUUCAGGAGAUACAAAAGCACAACAAGCUUGACUCUGCAGCCAACAUCGAUGCAGCUGUGGUGGAGCACUCCCUGAGUGGAGAGAGCACUGUGUCCCCAAUAUGGCCUUGGGAGGUUCAUGACAGCGCAAACAUUGGAACCAAGAAACGGCUUCAUGACCAAGUCAUGACAACAAAGCGACUGCAGGAGGAAAAAAACAUUCUGGUGAUGGAGAUGGCACAACACUGCACAUGGUUGCAGAACCUGGCAUUGGUUCUCAAAAACAAGGUGGCUGAGUCGGGUGGAGAGUCUGGAGACAAAGGAGCUGAAGGACUUUGCAGUCUCUUGAGGAGAAGAAACACAGAGGUGUCAGAGGGGUUGCAAGUGGUCCUGCAAAAAUACAAGACUGCUUUAGGUCCUGAGGCCUCUGUCAUUCAAAAUAUUGAAGAGGAAGACCAAAGUGUCCACAGCAGUCCAGACACCAGUGAGGAUGAAGAGGAAAGCAUAAUUUAGAUUGAAGCUGCACUGAGGAUGGACUAAGGAAAUGGACUUGCCUAGAAAGCACUAAUGUGAUAAAACAUGCAUUCGGGCGUCUUAUAUUAUUUCACACGCAUAGAUAUUAACUUGGCACUAUGGGGGAGGGAACCAAGGAAGGCAGGCUUUCCUAUGAUUGGCCGUUGUGAAGCGCGAUAUUUGAUUGACAGCCCUCCUCAGCCCGAAUUCAGCCAAGGGUUUCUUACUUGAAGGGACCUUCGCCCAGACGUGAUUGUCUUCUGAGUUUCAGCCAUUGACUACAAUACAGAAUGAAUGAGAGGAGGGCUGAGGAAGGCUCUCAAUCAAAUAUCGUGCUUCAGAAACAGCCAAUCAUAGGAAAGCACGCCCUGCCUUGAUUCCCUCCCACAUAGUGCCAAAAUUAAAUUUGAGCGAGAGAGCAUAACAUCAUUCGCGAGAGGCUGUUUUGUAUGACCAAAGUUAUUCCCCCCUCUCGCUUUCAACGAGGUAAUGCUCUCGAGGAUCUUUUUUCCUGGCUCGGGGAGCUGCGCUCUGAGUGCGGACGUGCGCACAGAUAAUUUGGGCGCUCGCAGUUAACAUCUACGUGUAUGAAAUAAUAUAAUACGCCCGAAUGCAUGUUUUAUCCCAUUAGUGCUUUAUGGCACUAAUGUGUCGCCAUACUCAACCGCUUAUCCUGGCAACUUCACACCUGACACUGCACCCUUGGGUCUUCUGCAAUACACCCACCAAGUGUAAAAUAAAUCAGAUGAACACUACUAACUGCUUCCUGUCAACUGACAGCAGUCAGCUGACCGUCAUUACAUCGCUGUAGCACGUGAACAUUCAUUGGUGCCAUACUUGACAGCUCUCCACACAGUUACAUAGCAUUGUGGUGAAUGUUCAGACCUCUGUUUCAUCUCUCCCCUUCCAGCGUCACAGAUUAUCAAUCUUGGUGAUGGAGGCACUAGCAUUUUGGUGUGUUAUUUAGUUAAUGUGUGUAAAAGAUGACUUCCUUAAAUGUCUUGUUUUGUUCGGGAUUCAAAGAUAUUCAGUUGACAGAAUAUAUAGAAGUAUAAAGAAACCAGAAAAUAUUACAUUUGAGAAUCUGGAAUCUGAUCAUUUUGAAUUUUUUUAUUUUUCAAAAAAUGAAAAAGUGAUUAAUCGUUCAUCCAAACAGUUGGUUAUUAAUUAAAAUCAAAUAGUUGCAUGUCAUGUAAAAUGUAAAUCAAG